UACGUAGGGAGCAAGCGUUGUCCGGAAUCAUUGGGCGUAAAGCGCGCGUAGGCGGCCCCAUAAGUCCGCUGUGAAAGUCAAAGGCUCAACCUUUGAAAGCCGGUGGAUACUGUGGGGCUAGAGUACGGAAGAGGCGAGUGGAAUUCCUGGUGUAGCGGUGGAAUGCGCAGAUAUCAGGAGGAACACCAAUAGCGAAGGCAGCUCGCUGGGACGUCACUGACGCUGAGGCGCGGAAGCGUGGGGAGCGAACAGG
rnacentral:rRNA from 1 species